rnacentral:lncRNA from 1 species
AAGCUUUUAAGUACAAAAAAAUUAUAUAUUUCAGUUUUUGUAACACAGUGUGUUUAAAACAGCUAAUAUGCUGAUAAAAUAAAAAAAAUAUCAAAAAGAAUAUAACUUCAGUUAAAAUAAUCCGACUUUUAAUAAACCUGACCAAGACGGGAAUUGAAAUCACCUCCUCUACCUUUGAGGCUAUCAACAUGUUCUUCUAAAAUACCAGAAUAUUAUAAAAAUUAUGAAAUUUUUUUUAGAAUUAAAAAAUUUCAUAAUUUUUAUAAAGUUAGAAUGGGCGAAAUGUAACGAAAAAUAUGUCCCACCCUAGUGGUUUCCUAAAUUUCAUUCACUAUUUCACAACGUGAGCUUUCGGUAAACUUGUGCUGCCACCUAACGGACACUAGGAGAACUUCUGAUAGCUUAAUUUUCGCGCACUUGUUUUGAGUUCCACCCAUGUGUUCACUGCGACUACUCGAGCGUACGAUUGCAACCGAUUUAACGUUCAUUCGAUUGUACUCGAGCAAUAUGGAUUGUGUGGAGUGAUCGAAUGCGCUUAUUUGAAUUUGCAUGGAAACUCUUUGACGCCUGGGAAACAGCCGAGUAGUUUUCCAUUGCUUUUUCUUGUAUUAGAAAUUCUAUACCCAAAUGGGUAUAAUAGCCUAUUCAAUUGGACAAAUGCGCCAUUUGAGCAGAGUUCUUAGUUAAAGCCAGACGUGUUAAGUACUACUAGAUAGUAACGGAAAGUUAUUAAAUUGUUAAAUCACUUGCAAAACCUUAUAUUAUUGUGAAGAGUGAAGCAAUCUCUUGAGAUAAUUUGACGUUGAAGCACAUUUUUGUUGCCUAGUAAACCGGUUAGCUGUGACCAAGUUUAAACAGGCUUAGGUAAGCAUUUGAAAUCGCUUGUUAGGCGUAUAUUUAGCUUUUAACAUCCCGUUGAACAGGACACCCUACUCAACGUGGGGUGCUGGUGCGGACUCAACGUCUAAGAACAAUACCACGUGCUACCUCGCCCGAACCGUAGGACGUCGGUGUGAUCGGUGGCUUCAGUAAUCGUGUCUGUGGCUUCCAAUUAGUUUCAAGCACCACUGCUUAAGCUGAUCAGCGUGAAACCUUCGUUAGAAACCACGUGCUCGACGCCCAAAUUCCGUGACUGUUAAGUGCUCGAUUCCAACGUUUCGGUUGCCGCCUGUGCGUUCAUUCCAAGCACAACGCUUACACCAAUCCGACACUCAAGAAAAUCUGCUCGAACGGAAGGCUCUGCUAUUCGGCCUUAUCUCAGCGUUCAUCGGCCAACCGUUGAAUCUUUCGAGUACGGAGUGGGUACUAGACAAGCUAACCGUCGUGGUUUUGGGAGCCACUGUCCAGACACCUUCGAACAGAUCAUCCAGCUGGAAAUAGUUUUAUGCGAUCGCCAACGAGGAACAUCGGCCGAACGAUUGACGCGUCGUGGGAGUUCACCACCCUCAGCCAGGUUUAGCGAAGAAGCUAAG